GGUGUUCUGGGAAUUUCUCCUACCCCGCAAACCGUCCUACCCGUUGUUCCUGAGCAUGUGCGCGCAUGCGCACAACACAUAAAGCGAAGCAAAGCGCAUCCGGCUGUGAUUUAAUGCUACCCCGUUGUCAUAUUUGCAGGAAAAUAGCUUCGGUGAAGUCUGCUGUCAAGUUACUGGACACGUGGUAUUUGCACAACACUUCUGAAUCCGCAGCUUCGGUGUUUUAAGGCUGUUUCGAUAUGGAGAAGAAGUGGGAAGAGAUUUAC